rnacentral:RNase_P_RNA from 1 species
AAAUUUAGGUAAUCGCUGCAAAGCUCGUCUUUGUAGAGGAAAGUCCAUGCUCACACGGCUCUGAGAUGACCGUAGUGUUUGUGCUCAGCAAAAAAAUAAGCUGGGGCAUCGCAAAUAUGCGAUGACGGCGGGAAUACGUCCUAAGUUAAGCUUGCUUAAUAUGGGCUAGGUUCCCUGAACAGUGCCACAGAAACGUAGCUGCUUCGGAAACGAAUCAGAUGGAACGCGGUAAACCCCAUAAGUGAGAAACCCAAACAAUGGUAGGGGCACUCUUCGAAAGGAACUGAACGGACGAAGGGACAGGAAAACAUUCCUGUAGAUAGAUGAUUACCACCCUAGUACGAGGCAAACGCCGUUUGAGUACACGGGAACAAAACAUGGCUUAUCGAA